rnacentral:rRNA from 1 species
AUUGAACGCUGGCGGCAGGCCUAACACAUGCAAGUCGAACGGUAACAGGAAGCAGCUUGCUGCUUUGCUGACGAGUGGCGGACGGGUGAGUCAUGUCUGGGAAACUGCCCGAUGGAGGGGGAUAACUACUGGAAACGGUAGCUAAUACCGCAUAACGUCGCAAUACCAAAGAGGGGGACCUUAGGGCCUCUUGCCAUCGGAUGUGCCCAGAUGGGAUUAGCUAGUAGGUGGGGUAACGGCUCACCUAGGCGACGAUCCCUAGCUGGUCUGAGAGGAUGACCAGCAACACUGGAACUGAGAAACGGUCCAGACUCCGACGGGAGGCAGCAGUGGGGAAUAUUGCACAAUGGGCGCAAGCCUGAUGCAGCCAUGCCGCGUGUAUGAAGAAGGCCUUCGGGUUGUAAAGUACUUUCAGCGGGGAGGAAGGGAGUAAAGUUAAUACCUUUGCUCAUUGACGUUACCCGCAGAAGAAGCACCGGCUAACUCCGUG